AUUGCAUGAGCGAUUUGCUUCUAUUGGUCACUUAUAUAAUGGUGGCUUCCUGAGGUUAAGGGCUUUGUCUUAUUCAUUUCUGUUUUUCCAGGACUGUUAACAGUGCCUGGCUUGCAGAAGAGAGAUGGUAGAUACUUUGCUGACGCCCAUGAACAACUGUCUAAUAAUUUUCGAAAGCAUUCUCUCCAUUCACACAUCUUCUAAGUAUGCAUAGAAGUAUAUAUGGACUCGACACAAUGACUCGUGGACUCUCUCUUUGACUCUCACUUUACAUCUCUACGGCAUAUAGCUGUAAUCACCGUGUUUUCAUAUUUAGGUCUUAAUGAAGCUGGUAUUGAUGCAACAAAGAUUUUAAGACAAUGGAAGAGCGGAAAGCAAAGAGGAAGAGUCCCAAGUCCUUCAGUGCCCACUCUACUCAGGUUGUUAAUGCCAAAAAAAAUACCAUCCCAGCUAGCAAAAGCACAGGGUUUUCAAAUCCCGCGUCGCAGUCAACUUCCCAGAGGCCAAAGUUAAAAAGGGUGACGAAAGAAAAGAACAAACCUCCAGGAGGAGAAGGGAAGGGUGCCCAGGCCACACCCAUCCAGCACUCCUUCCUCACCGACGUCUCUGAUGUCCAGGAGAUGGAGCGCGGGCUCCUUAGUCUGCUGAAUGAUUUCCACUCAGGAAAGCUGCAGGCGUUUGGUAAGACCCCAUGCUCCUCUCUAAGGCUAUGCAUGCUACCUUCUGCAUGUCUUACCCUUCCCUUAGUUGGGUAUAUUCUCGUGUGUACACUCAAAAGUCAGAGGACAACCCUGGGUGUCAUUCCUCAGCAGCACUCAUCUCGUUGCUUGAGGAAGGGUCUCUCAAAGUAUCAUUUUCCUGUAGUGAAAAGUAAACGGGGGCUGGAUGUGAUGACUCACGCCUGUAAUCCCAGGCUCUGAAAAGUAGAGGUGGAAGGACGAGAAGUUCUAACUCAUCCUCAACCACAAAUCGAGAUCAAGGCCACUCUGGUCUACCUGAGGCUGUCGCAGAACAAGUAGAACCAGGGAGGGCUGGGUCUGUACCUUUGCUGGUAGCUGGUAGAUCGCCUAGUGUUUACACAACCCUUGCUUUAACACCCAUCACAGCAUAAAAGCCAGGCAAGGUAGUGUACACCUCUAACUCUACCACUUGGGAGGUCCAGGAAGUUCGAAGACAUUCCCUGCUACAUAGUGACUUUGGAGGCUACCUGGGCCACAGGAAGCCUGCCUCAAAAACAAAAAACAAAACAAAAGAAGCACACAUUCAGAGUGCAGGGUGAGAGGGAGAGAAGGGCCACACGAUAAAUACACAUAAAAUGUAAGAAUUUUAGGUUUUACCGUUGAUGGGAUAUAAUUAAUGGGAGAGGUUUUUAAAGGGAGUUUUUAGGGCCAGAGACAUGGCUUAGUACAUCAGACAGUUUGCUCACAGCCAUGAGGCUCUGAGUUUGUAUUUCAGCACCUGUGUGAAAAGCUGGGCAUGGACUCCCUGUGAGCCCAGAGAUGUUGGCUGUCAGCCUUGGUCUAGGUUCACUGAAAGACCACACCUUAAAGGAAAGAGGCAGAGAGUGAUGGGACAGGAAACCUGACGUUGUCCUCCUGCUUCUGCAUGCCAGCAUGUACAAGUGCGUCCCUGUAUACUACAUGACACCACACACAUGUGCACACAUGUUCACAAGGGAAGGUUAGCUGAAAUGUUAAAGUAGGGUUGCAAUUGUGGAAUAACCACACUGAAAUGCCUAUUUAAAUUAGGUCCUGUGUCCUGUGUAUGGUCUUUUUUGUCCCUUUGUUCUUUUUUUCAAAGAUUUAUUCAUUUAUUAUAUAUGAGUACACUGUAGCUAUCUUCAGACACACCAGAAGAGGGCAUCAGAUCCCAUUACAGAUGGCUGUGAGACCAUGUGGUUGCUGGGAAUUGAACUCAUGACCUCUGGAAGAGCAGUCAGUGCUCUUAACCGCUGAGCCAUCUCUCCAGCCCAUCCCUCUGUUCUUUAGAAGGCAGCCUCAUCCACUUCUGAAAAACAAAACCAUACCAUAUAAUUUAUCUAUUUAAAUAACAGGAAGUCUUUAUCAUUUAAAUGGGUGUAGACUUAAUUUGUUCAAUUUUCUUUUGUCUUUUGAAUGAACUAUAGACAUGUCUGUUAUGUAGAACCUUAGACAGUUAGUCCCUGAAAGUGUACACUUUUGGAAAGUACCCUUCCUCAAAGUGUAGUCUUUGCUUUUGUGUUUUUGAAACAUGUCUUCUACAUACAUAGUCCGGCUAUCCUGGAGUUCGUGAUCUUAGGCCUCAGCUUUUCAUGCACUGGGAUUUUUCCCUUUCUGAGGCAAGGCCUUGUGUAUCUCAGGCUGACUUCAAACCCAAUGAGUAGCUGAGGAUGACCUCAAACUUCUUGUCUUCCUAUUGCCACCGGCCUCCAACUGCUAGGAUUACAGGAUGCCAUGAUACCCUGUUAAUCCAGGGCUGGGGAUUGAACUCCGUCACUGCCGGACAAGCAUCUGCUAUCUGAGUUACAUCCUCAGCCCAUCUGCUUUGUGUUUUUAAGGUGGGGCUUCAUGGAUUGUAGGCCGGCUUCAAACUCAUUACAUAGCAGAGGCUGCUCUUGGAUUCCUGAUCUCCUGGCCCUACCUUCCAAGGGUCGAAAUAGAGGAGUGGGUCACCAUACCCAACUCUGAUAUUAUUUUUAAUAGAAGUAUCUUCUAUUAUUUUCUUCUUUUAUUGAAAGUUUAUUAAAGAACCCUUUCUUUUCUUUGGGUUCCCAAUAGCAGUAGGCAUUAUCUCUGAAUUUUUGCCAGUCAAGUGAAAAUUUUAAGCAUCAAACUUAAAUCCCCAUUCUGCUUGCUAAGUAGUUGAUUGCUCUCUUCAGGGCCUUUACAAAGUCUUUAGUUUGGUAAUUUCUCACUUGUCAUUGUCAAGAGCCCUUUGCAUUUUUUACAUGGAAACAUUUUUUGAAACUUACUUUUCCCAAUAUGUCUGUUGGUCUUGUGACAGCACACGUAUCCUGUGGGAUUGUUGGGUUUUGUGCACUCACAUCUCUCUUCUUUCGUGGUUUCUGAGUCUUUAGUCCUAAGUAGUAUUUAUGUUUGACAAGAGGCCAGACUCAGGCUUGUAAUCCCAGUAAUGGAAGGCUAAGGCAGGAGGAUCAAGAGUUCAAGGCCACAUUGAAUUAUAUAGGAGCCCCCAACUCCAAAAAGGUGUAUGACUUUCUUCCCAGACAAUGUCCCCCAUGCUUCACCCAACCCCAACAACAUGGUAUCCCAGAAUGCUUCACUUCUCCCACUCUUCCAUGCUCACCCUUUCUCGUGGUAACUCCCUUUCCUUAAGGUCAGGAGAUUUGUUUGAUGGAAGGCCUUCCUCUGAUCUGUGCCACCACUAAGCCCCAGCUGUAAGGGAUGCUGUGCAAAUCCCACAGCCAGGCAGUUGCUUUCUUACUAGGUCAUUAUUUUUCCCUUCUUAAUGCCUCUGAGUCCACACCUCACUUCACCUGUAAGGUGUGGGCACUCAUCACAACAUGGUAGGACCUUUCCCAGGGAUCCCAGCGGGGACUUGCUAGGCCUUUCUUAUCUGCUAACUCACCUUUCAUCCUACACGACACGUUCUUUGUGUCUUACGAAGCUUCCGUCUUCUCAUGGCUGGCCACCUAGGUAUGUCUUCCUCUCAGUUUUCCUUUGUCAGGUCUACGUCUCUGUAUUCAUUCAUUCAUGUUCUCACUCAUUCUCCCUCUCCCUCUCUUUCCUCUCCUUCCCGAGUUUCCUCCUCUCCCCCUCUCACUCUCUCUUCCCAUGAACGUAUACCUCUUCCAGAUUCCAGAUGCUGAUAUACACUCUCAUGACACCACAACUGGGUGCGUUUCAGCUUUAGCUGAAUUACAGUAUAUUCUUGCAAUAUGUUCAGAAAAAAAAAAGAAAGCUUGUUUUGUUUUGUUCUUAAUUGGACUCCCAAGAGGUUACAGAGGCUGUACUUAAACUAGAUGAAGCUAUAGACUAUGUCAUGUAUAUGUACCGACCUUAGUUGUCUGAGCAGGUAAAAUCUUACCACACUGGACCUAAGUCAAGAAAUAAUGGGAUUUGUGUCUUAGUGAGGUUGCCCUGUGCUACCACAUAUAUAAAAUAUUACGCUGUGUAAUGUAGUACAUCAUGCUUCAUAAAUAUUUGCAUUUAUAUUUCCUAAAGGAAGAAUUUAUAAUUGUCUGGGAAAAUAAUUUGUGGUUGAAAUUCUUAGAGAAUUCUACACUCUACUCAGAAUACUACAGAAUGUUGGCUUUCUCAAUUCUAUUGGCAGUUAUCAAAAUGGGCAUAAUUAUGUUGCUUUUGCUUCUAUAUACAAUGUUACAGGGGAAGAAAAAAUACAUCUUCCCUAUUUGAGGAGUGAUUUUGCUUUUUAUUU
rnacentral:lncRNA from 1 species